rnacentral:rRNA from 1 species
AGUGAACGCUGGCGGUAGGCCUAACACAUGCAAGUCGAACGGCAGCACAGUAAGAGCUUGCUCUUACGGGUGGCGAGUGGCGGACGGGUGAGGAAUACAUCGGAAUCUACUUUUCGUGGGGGAUAACGUAGGGAAACUUACGCUAAUACCGCAUACGACCUACGGGUGAAAGCAGGGGAACUUCGGACCUUGCGGGAUUGAAUGAGCCGAUGUCGGAUUAGCUAGUUGGCGGGGUAAAGGCCCACCAAGGCGACGAUCCGUAGCUGGUCUGAGAGGAUGAUCAGCCACACUGGAACUGAGACACGGUCCAGACUCCUACGGGAGGCAGCAGUGGGGAAUAUUGGACAAUGGGCGCAAGCCUGAUCCAGCCAUACCGCGUGGGUGAAGAAGGCCUUCGGGUUGUAAAGCCCUUUUGUUGGGAAAGAAAAGCAGCAGGUUAAUACCCCGCUGUUCUGACGGUACCCAAAGAAUAAGCACCGGCUAACUUCGUG